rnacentral:rRNA from 1 species
GACGAACGCUGGCGGCGUGCUUAACACAUGCAAGUCGAACGGAAAGGCCCUGCUUGCAGGGUACUCGAGUGGCGAACGGGUGAGUAACACGUGGGUGAUCUGCCCUGCACUUCGGGAUAAGCCUGGGAAACUGGGUCUAAUACCGGAUAGGAGCCAUUUUUAGUGUGAUGGUUGGAAAGUUUUUUCGGUGUCGGAUGAGCUGGCGGCCUAUCAGCUUGUUGGUGGGGUAAUGGCCUACCAAGGCGGCGACGGGUAGCCGGCCUGAGAGGGUGGACGGCCACAUUGGGACUGAGAUACGGCCCAGACGCCUACGGGAGGCAGCAGUGGGGAAUAUUGCACAAUGGGCGCAAGCCUGAUGCAGCGACGCCGCGUGGGGGAUGACGGCCUUCGGGUUGUAAACUCCUUUCGCUAGGGACGAAGCUUUUUGUGACGGUACCUAGAUAAGAAGCACCGGCUAACUACGUG